rnacentral:misc_RNA from 1 species
ACACACAACAAUGUUAGUUGGCAUGUUAUAUAUAAUAAUAAAAUAUACAACUUUCAACAACGGAUCUCUUGGCUCUCGCAUCGAUGAAGAACACAGCGAAAUGUGAUAAGUAAUGUGAAUUGCAGAAUCCAGUGAAUCAUCGAAUCUUUGAACGCAUCUUGCGCUCCUUGGCAUUCCGAGGAGCAUGCCUGUUUGAGUGUCAUUAAACUAUCAAAACACUUUUUUUGUUGAAGUGUUUUGGACUUUGGGAGUACUGUGCUGGUCUCUUUUGUUUUGGACCCAGCUCUCCUCAAAAGCAUUAACUUUGGAGAACCAUCAGUGUGAUAUAUCAUUUUGUUUAUACGCUGGCUUUCUCCUUUUAAAAAUGCCCCUUUGACCUCAAAUCAGGUAGGACUACCCGCUGAACUUAAGCAUAUCAAUA